UACGUAGGGGGCAAGCGUUGUCCGGAAUCAUUGGGCGUAAAGAGCGUGUAGGCGGCCCGGUAAGUCCGCUGUGAAAGUCCAGGGCUCAACCCUGGGAUGCCGGUGGAUACUGUCGGGCUCGAGUCCGGAAGAGGAGUGUGGAAUUCCUGGUGUAGCGGUGAAAUGCGCAGAUAUCGGGAAGAACACCCGUGGCGAAGGCGGUUCUCUGGGACGGUACUGACGCUGAGACGCGAAAGCGUGGGGAGCGAACAGG
rnacentral:rRNA from 1 species